GGCCCGAUUUCUUGUGAGUGUAGAGCUUUGCCUACCAUCUCUUACCCAUGUCUUUUGAGUACCUUCGUUUCCUCGGCGGGUCCGCCCGCCGAUUGGACAAACUUAAACCCUUUGUAAUUGAAAUCAGCGUCUGAAAAAACAUAAUAGUUACAACUUUCAACAACGGAUCUCUUGGUUCUGGCAUCGAUGAAGAACGCAGCGAAAUGCGAUAAGUAGUGUGAAUUGCAGAAUUCAGUGAAUCAUCGAAUCUUUGAACGCACAUUGCGCCCCUUGGUAUUCCAUGGGGCAUGCCUGUUCGAGCGUCAUUUGUACCUUCAAGCUCUGCUUGGUGUUGGGUGUUUGUCUCGCCUUUGCGUGUAGACUCGCCUUAAAACAAUUGGCAGCCGGCGUAUUGAUUUCGGAGCGCAGUACAUCUCGCGCUUUGCACUCAUAACGACGACGUCCAAAAAGUACUUUUUACACUCUUGACCUCGGAUCAGGUAGGGAUACCCGCUGAACUUAAGCAUAUCAAA
rnacentral:rRNA from 1 species